rnacentral:pre_miRNA from 1 species
UUAACUCGAGUUUGUAUGGAGUUGGAACAGCGCCCCUAGCGGCAAACGUAGGCAAACGUUCCAACUCCAUACAAAUUUGAGUUC